rnacentral:lncRNA from 1 species
AUGCCUUCUUACAACAAGAGUACAAAGAAAAGAAUUUGACAUUGUGAAGGGUCCAAAUUCUACCACAUUAAAUAAUAGGCUGGUUUCAUGGCCACUGGAUGAGCAGAAGUGUUUGUGCCUGUGUAAAUGGCCUCAGAUUACUCCUCCUAUAGAGCAGCUGGAUUUUCUUUUCAUAAUUGUUCAAUCUCUUCCGCUGCUGAUAAAUUGUCAGUCUCAGCAUCUAGCCCGUUGCAACUCUUUUCCAGUCUUUCUAAUUUGGUCCUUCUAAUCUUCUGUUGUCUUGGAAAAAACACACAUAUUUGUUAGAAGUGUGAGCAAACUAACAGAACACAGAUCUGAGAGAGGGCUGCAAAGUGGAGACACUGGCAAGCUGAGAUGCAGAGUGGGGAGGUGUUCAAAAUGAAUGGCCCUUGUAGGUGGGAGUUAAAUCAUGAAAUAGCACGCAAGUCAUGUUGAAGAGUUUGGGUUUUAUCCUGAGGGCAACUGGGAGCUUUGGAAGAAUUCAAGAAGAACGUCAUAGAGUUGGAAUCCUACAGUAUGUAACCUUUUCAGAUCGGCCUUGUUCACUUGGUAAUAUGCAUUGCUGGGAAAGCUGUACGAGGUCUGGAGCGCGGGGCAUCCCGGGAUCAGCUCCCUGCUGCCACAACCCCACUGGUGUUAUUAGUAUCCUCAUCAGAAUGACGUCUUUUCCAGCAGCUUGUUUCUAGCACGUUUCUGAGUUUCUACAGCCCAUCCAGAUCUAGGCCCCUGGUCACAUCCCAGAGCCACCCCCACCACAGACACAAGGCCCCUCAGUGCCAGGCCCCCUUGGUGGAUCUCAAAUGGUUUUGCAUGAGCCCCACCCCACAUAAGGCAGCAGAAGCAGGCUCUUACCCUAUUCGGCAGAUGGGCAGGCUGUGGCUCAGAGAAGCUGAGUGGCUGGCAUAAAAUGGCACAGGAUCUCCUCUACAACCACCUACAACCACCCUCCAUACAGCAAGCCCCUCAGCUUCCCUUUCCACCCAAAGGUCUGGCUCCCACUCUUGGAUGAAGAGAAGGAGCGUCUGAACCCAAAAUUCCUUACAGCACAAUAGACAACUGAAAAACAACUCAACAGAAUUUUAAUUAUUCACAGAAAACGUGUACUGUGUACAAGGUAUUGACCAAAGAACUUUAUAAAUACUAACUCAUUUUCUCCUUAUAACUACCUUAAUGAAGCAGGUACAAUUAUUAUCCCCAUUUUAUAGGUGAGGAAACUGAGGCAGGGAGAGAGUAACUGGCCCAGGGCCACACAGCUAGGAGGCCAGAGAGC